UAUUUGCCAUUAAUUUCCCUC
rnacentral:miRNA from 1 species